rnacentral:rRNA from 1 species
UGAAUGUGAUCGUCCGUCGCAUGGCGGAUUGUUUAAAGGCAGGGACCCGCAAGGGCCUGUCGCUUGGAGAGGAGCCCGCGUCCUAUCAGCUAGUUGGUGAGGUGAAGGCUCACCAAGGCUAUGACGGGUAGCUGGUCUGAGAGGAUGGUCAGCCACAUUGGGACUGAGACACUGCCCAGACUCCUACGGGAGGCUGCAGUCGAGGAUCAUUUGCAAUGGGCGCAAGCCUGACAAUGCGACGCUGUGUGGAGGAUGAAGGCCUUCGGGUCGUAAACUCCUGUCAUUUGGGAACAAAAUCGGGGAGGGGAUAAUCCUUUCCGGGGUGAUAGUACCAGAAGAGGAAGUCACGGCUAACUCUGUGCCAGCAGCCGCGGUGAUACAGAGGUGGCAAGCGUUGUUCGGAUUUACUGGGCGUAAAGGGUGCGUAGGUAGUUUUGCAUGUCAGAUGUGAAAGCUCAUCGCUCAACGAUGAAAGUGCAUUUGAAACUGCAGGACUGGAGUACGGGGGAGGAGAGUGGAAUUCUUGGUGUAGCGGUGAAAUGCGUAGAUAUCAAGAAGAACACCGGUGGCGAAGGCGACUCUCUAUCCCGAUACUGACGCUGAGGCACGAAAGCUGGGGGAGCAAACAGGAUUAGAUACCCUGGUAGUCCCAGCCUUAAACGGUGUACACUUGGUGUGGGAGGAUUUGACCCCUUCUGUGCCGGAGCUAACGCGUUAAGUGUACCGCCUGGGGAGUACGGCCGCAAGGUUAAAACUCAAAGAAAUUGACGGGGGCCCGCACAAGCGGAGGAGCAUGUGGCUUAAUUCGAUGCAACGCGAAGAACCUUACCAGGACUUGACAU